CCUAAGGCGAGGCUGAAAAGCGUAGUCGAUGGACAACAGGUUGAUAUUCCUGUACCGAUAUUUAAUUGCCGAAGGAAGGACGCAGAAGGAUAACACAGGCCACUAUUGGAUGUGGUUUUAAACAGUUAGUCUUCAUAAGAGUCAAAUGCUUUUAUGUUUAAGGAUAAGCUGUGAAUGUACCAAGUUUACUUGGAAAUUGUGUGAUUUCACGCUGCUGAAAAAAGUUUCGUAGGAAGAAAAUAUUGCCCGUACCGCAAACCGACACAGGUACUCAAGUGGAGAACACUAAGGUGAGCGAGUGAACUAUUGUUAAGGAACUCUGCAAAAUGAGUCCGUAACUUCGGAAGAAGGACUGCUGGUUUUAUACCAGCCGCAGCAAAUAGGCCCAAACAACUGUUUAUCAAAAACACAGGUUUCUGCAAAAUCGUAAGAUGAAGUAUAGGGGCUGACGCCUGCCCAGUGCUGGAAGGUUAAAAGGAGGACUUAGCUUCGGCGAAGGUCUUAAUUGAAGCCCCAGUGAACGGCGGCCGUAACUAUAACGGUCCUAAGGUAGCGAAAUUCCUUGUCGGGUAAGUUCCGACCCGCAUGAAAGGCGUAAUGAUUUGGGCGCUGUCUCAACAAUAGACUCGGUGAAAUUUAAAUUCCAGUGAAGAUGCUGGGUACCCGCGACAGGACGGAAAGACCCCGUGGAGCUUUACUGUAGCUUGAUAUUGAAUGUUUGUGCUGCAUGUGCAGGAUAGGUAGGAGACUUUGAAGUCGGAACGCUAGUUUCGAUUGAGUCACCCUUGAGAUACUACCUCUGUUGUAUGAACGUUCUAACUCUGAUCAGUUAUCCUGAUCGAAGACAGUGUCUGGCAGGCAGUUUGACUGGGGCGGUCGCCUCCUAAAAGAUAACGGAGGCGCUCAAAGGUUUGCUCAGAAUGGUUGGAAAUCAUUCGUAGCGUGUAAAGGCAUAAGCAAGCUUGACUGUGAGACUGACAAGUCGAGCAGGUACGAAAGUAGGACUUAGUGAUCCGGUGGUUCCGUAUGGAAGGGCCAUCGCUCAACGGACAAAAGCUACCCCGGGGAUAACAGGCUCAUCUCCCCCAAGAGUCCACAUCGACGGGGAGGUUUGGCACCUCGAUGUCGGCUCAUCGCAUCCUGGGGCUGUAGUCGGUCCCAAGGGUUGGGCUGUUCGCCCAUUAAAGCGGUACGCGAGCUGGGUUCAGAACGUCGUGAGACAGUUCGGUCCCUAUCCGUCGUGGGCGCAGGAAAUUUGAGAGGAUCUGUCCUUAGUACGAGAGGACCGGGAUGGACAUACCUCUGGUGUACCAGUUGUUCUGCCAAGAGCACCGCUGGGUAGCUACGUAUGGAUUAGAUAAUCGCUGAAAGCAUCUAAGUGAGAAACUAACCUCGAGAUGAGAUUUCCCAUUCGUCAGAAGUAAGACCCCUGAGAGACGAUCAGGUAGAUAGGCUAGAAGUGGAAGUGUAGUGAUGCAUGGAGCGGACUAGUACUAAUAGGUCGAGGACUUAACCAAG
rnacentral:rRNA from 1 species